UGGGUGUAAUGUUGCAGGAGCUCAUCAAGUUGGCGAGCUGGGCAGCGGGGUGAACGCCCUGGUCGGUGGAAUGUGUUGCCAAACGCACCGAUCGGAACCCGCGAGAAAUGCUACGGGUGCCAAUUACACAUCACCUGAUUACCGUCAAUCUGACCGUUUUCUUGUUGAUGUGGUGUAGCCAGGUGAUGUGAAUGAGUUUUUCAAUAAAGGAGAAGAUAGAUAUCUACGAUGACAGGUACAUAAACCUUGGGGUUUGUCCUUGGAGUUUACAGAUCCUGCACUAAAUGUAUGAAGAGAAAUUACUUAGGAACUAAGAGUAAUUUAUGUCUCAGCUAGUGAAAGUGUCAAUAUUGUAAGACCAACACGGCACAUAUCUCGGAGAGAGGAAGUAUAGAGAAAAGUAAAUGACCACAGUUAUGUAUUACCUGUCAUUAUUUUACAUUAGUUCAUCAAGAAACGUCCAAAACAAGAAGAUCCCAAAUAAGAUAACGUGAUUAGUAUAAAUCAUACACGUAUAUAAAUUUACCUUAUGUUUCGUCUCGUCAAUGAGAUAUGCCGCUAUCUAACGGAUUCGAAUCUACAAACGACAUGUCACUGCAAGCUACUCAUAAUAUUCAAGUGAAGGUUGACGUACCUCCUACUUACGGUUAGGUUUUCUGAAAUGUUCUUGUUUACUUGUUAAUCGUUGUUGACUGUGCUUAGUUAUCUUGAUAGUUCUUGCAAAUAUUGCGUUAUGUCAUUGGGUUGUUUACAUUGGAGUAUUCAUAAAAUAAAGAGUUUAUAAAACUUCUAACAGCGUAGUCUACUGGAGAAAGCGUAAU